GUGAAUCAUCGAAUCUUUGAACGCAAAUUGCACUCUCUGGUAUUCCGGAGAGUAUGCCUGUUUGAGGGUCAGUUUAAUUAAAAACGGUGUUGUUGCCACCCGUUGUUGGUUGUGCUGCGUCGGUGUGUAGUCGUUCUUUCCCUUUGGUUUACGAGACUUAAACUUAUGUUUGUUUUUUGAACGUAUUUA
rnacentral:misc_RNA from 1 species